UCCACAGAGAGGACACCCCUCUACUACAGCCUUCAGGGAAACAGGGUCAAGAAGAAAACAGGCCUGAGCUCUUCCUCCAUUCUGUCUGUAUGAGAGUUUACAGAGGCUCCGGAAACCAAACUCGACUGAAAUGUAAACGUUGAAGUGCCUUUGAGCAAGACCACAAACCAUAACCAAGUCCAGAAUCAACACGCAGGACAGUGAACACAUGUUCCUGCUGGUAGGCUAUCUGCUUGUAGGGCUGGAACGUUCUUCAAUGUAUUAAUUAGGUGAUCUACAACAAAUUAAUCAACCAAUUUGGAUGCCGCAUCUCUGCCUUACCCAGUCCUCGAAGUGCUUGCUGCCGUUGUGCAGGAUGUCCUCGAACUGGAUGAUGCAGUUGGCCACGAAGUCGUCGUAGCCGAUGGGCGCGUCGUGGAAGACGGACAGCUC